rnacentral:rRNA from 1 species
UACGUAGGGUGCGAGCGUUGUCCGGAAUUAUUGGGCGUAAAGAGCUCGUAGGCGUGUGUCGCGUCGGCCGUGAAAACCUGCAGCUUAACUGUGGGCUUGCGGUCGAUACGGGCAUCACUGGAGUUCGGCAGGGGAGACUGGAAUUCCUGGUGUAGCGGUGAAAUGCGCAGAUAGUCAGGAGGAACACCGGUGGCGAAGGCGGG